GGGUCAAGUCCCGCAACGAGCGCAACCCUUGUGGCAUGUUGCUAACAGGAAAAGCUGAGGACUCAUGCCAGACUGCCGGUGACAAACCGGAGGAAGGCGGGGAUGACGUCAAAUCAUCAUGCCCCUUAUGGCCUGGGCUACACACGUACUACAAUGGCGGCUACAAAGAGCAGCGAGACAGGGAUGUCGAGCGAAUCUCAUAAAAGCCGUCCCAGUUCGGAUUGGAGGCUGC
rnacentral:rRNA from 1 species